rnacentral:lncRNA from 1 species
UAAAAUGCAGAUUCAAAUUCACUAGGUCUGGGGUGGGGCAGCAUCUCUAGCAAAUCCCUAGGGCGUGCCCACACUGCUGGCCCAUGACCACACUGAGGAGCAGAGGUCCAACAUAGUUUGUCAUCUACAUAUUUAUUAUGUUGUACUGUUUGUCUCUCCCUCUCUGGCUAUAGCAUAAACUCCACUGAAGCAGAAUCUUCGUUUUGUUCACUCGUGUAUCCCAAGCACCUAAACAGCACCUGGAACAUGACAGACACUCAAAUAUUUAUUGCAUGAAUGAUUCAAUAGGUCCUCAAGAGACCCGUGACGGUCUUCCCUUGAUCUUGGCUUUGGUGUUGGUGAUGGCGCCAGAAGACUCAGCCCAGGCCAGAGGUCGUGGUCUGUGGGGCUCUGGUGGUCAGCAGAAGAGGCCAGGAUAGAGCGAGACGGACAAUGACCACGAGCACAGAAAGCUGCAGAGGAGCAGGAUCCAGAAGCAGAAGCUUGUGACUUGGCACCUGUUUCCGGAACCCACUAUGGCCCAACCUUCUCAGAAGAUUUUGCACCUUGAGCCAAAGAGGAUGCAGGGCUCUUGGGACCCAAGAGCCUGAGUAGGGCUUCUGCCCUCCCUCUCCGGCCUGAAGUUUCCCAUUCAUCAGCUGGAACCUUCACACCUGCCCAGAGGACUGCUGACUCGCACUGACGGUGGCCACAAGAAUUCAGAUGUGAUGGCUGCAGCUUAAGCAGCCAUCAUGGACCAUGAAGUAGACACACUAAACCUGCUGCAGGAGCAAGAUGGAAGGAGUCUGGACCUCUGACAAUGACAGUUUCACAAAACUUUUCCUGGGGUGUACGCCUCCAGACACCUCUUAUUCCUGAGAGGCAGAUAAACUGCUCCCUUUUAAAGCCACUGUUGUUUUGAGUUGAUCUGUUACACAUAGUCAAACCUGAUCCAAACUCAAAAAUAAAAGAAAAAGCAAAAAAACCUGAUCCAAACUGAUUCAAGUCCCUGCUGUGUGACAGACACUCUUCGAGGUUGUGGUGACCCAGCAGUGAGGAUAGGAUGGUCACCAGCACAGUGACCAUAGUGCCUGCCCUGUACAGCCACAUUCCAGUGGAGAGAAAGCUAUAUAUGAGGAAACA